rnacentral:sRNA from 1 species
GUAAGAAGCUUCGACUAAGGUUCGACUCGAGCGAAGCGAGAGAACGUUGCCGCAGGCAACGGCCCGAAGGGCGAGGCGCUUUAGCGCCGAGUAAUCCUUCCCCCACCACCA